UAUUACUUCUUUCUUUUCUCUCUCUCUUUCUCACUCUCUCACGCCUCUGCCCUCCUCCAGCUCUCUCUCUCGCCUUUGUCUCCAUCGUCGUCGGGUACGGGAGCAUCACUGCCAUCGCACACGAGCACCACCGUCACUGCGUAUGCGAUUCCACUUUGAUCGACUCAGCCCUUCCUCUUUGAUCUCUCUGAAAUUAUCUCUAGAUCGACCAAGGAUCUCUGGGCCACCAUUAUCACAGUUUCUCUGUGUAUAGCAAAGAUGAAUCAUGCUAUAUACUUUUUGUGUCUGCAAGGUGCUCGACAAAAUGUCACAAUGGCAACUGAAAUUUGCAUUUUGUUUAGGUCAUUGACAGGUCAUUUGGCUUUGAUACUGCUGUUGAGGAAGCUCAGCAAGCCAUCAAUGCUGCGCAUGUUGAAGCUGAGAGUGUUGAGAAUGGUGUUGGUGUAGUGAAGCUAAUGGGCCGCUACAGUGAUUUACUGGUGCAGGCUUCAUUGCAAUGUAUGCUACACUUGCCAGCCGAGAUGUGGACUGUUGUUUGAUUCCAGAAUCACCCUUCUUUCUGGAAGUGGUAGUGGAUGUAAUAGAUAUUGGUGAACAUGUUCUAAAACUCGUUAAUUUUGUUGUUUGGAAAUGUUGGAAAAGGCAAUAGCAACUCCUCCAACUGUUUCACCAAUGUGGUGUUCCCCAUUACUUGAGCCAGAUGAACAUGGCAUUAGUGAAUCGUCUUCACAGUUGCUGAUAAUAUAUUAGUGAAUCGUCUUCACGCUUCAUGCUCCACUGUCUACUCACUUAUCUGUGCCGAGCUUCUUUAUUUUUGAAAAACCUUGUUCUAUGUUUUUCUUUGAAGGUACUGCUCAUUUCCUUAUUAGAAGAAUAAAGAAGCAUGUCCUAGACAAAACUACUCCCAUACAGGACUUCAUUUCCUUACUGCUCAUUUUCUUUGAGUUCACUUUGU